UAAAUACUAAUACCAGAUCGAUAGUGCACAAGUACCGUGAGGGAAAGGUGAAAAGAACUGAGGUGAUCAGAGUGAAAUAGAACCUGAAACCAUUUGCUUACAAUCAUUCAGAGCCCUAUGUAGCAAUACAGGGUGAUGGACUGCCUUUUGCAUAAUGAGCCUGCGAGUUGUGGUGUCUGGCAAGGUUAAGCAAACGCGAAGCCGUAGCGAAAGCGAGUCUGAAUAGGGCGCUUAGUCAGAUGCUGCAGACCCGAAACGAAGUGAUCUAUCCAUGAGCAAGUUGAAGCUAGUGUAAGAACUAGUGGAGGACUGAACCCAUAGGCGUUGAAAAGCCCCGGGAUGACUUGUGGAUAGGGGUGAAAGGCCAAUCAAACUUCGUGAUAGCUGGUUCUCUCCGAAAUAUAUUUAGGUAUAGCGUUGUGUCGUAAUAUAAGGGGGUAGAGCACUGAAUGGGCUAGGGCAUACACCAAUGUACCAAACCCUAUCAAACUCCGAAUACCUUAUAUGUAAUCACAGCAGUCAGGCGGCGAGUGAUAAAAUCCGUCGUCAAGAGGGAAACAACCCAGACUACCAGCUAAGGUCCCUAAAUCUUACUUAAGUGGAAAACGAUGUGAAGUUACUUAAACAACCAGGAGGUUGGCUUAGAAGCAGCCAUCCUUUAAAGAAAGCGUAAUAGCUCACUGGUCUAGUGAUUUUGCGCGGAAAAUAUAACGGGGCUAAAGUAAGUACCGAAGCUGUAGACUUGCGCACAACUUAGAUUAUUUAAGUUUAGAAUAUGAGAAACUAAGUUAUAUGUUUAGUUAUAUUUUUACUGAUUUUUAUAGAGUAAAGAUAGAAAUAAAACUUAGUAAAAUCAGUAAAAAUAUUCUUAGACUAAAGUUAAGUAGUUUAAGUUGUGUGCAAGUGGUAGGAGAGCGUUCUAUUUGCGUCGAAGGUAUACCGGUAAGGAGUGCUGGAGCGAAUAGAAGUGAGCAUGCAGGCAUGAGUAGCGAUAAUUAAUGUGAGAAUCAUUAACGCCGUAAACCCAAGGUUUCCUACGCGAUGCUCGUCAUCGUAGGGUUAGUCGGGUCCUAAGUCGAGUCCGAAAGGGGUAGACGAUGGCAAAUUGGUUAAUAUUCCAAUACCAACAUUAGUGUGCGAUGGAAGGACGCUUAGGGCUAAGGGGGCUAGCGGAUGGAAGUGCUAGUCUAAGGUCGUAGGAGGUUAUACAGGCAAAUCCGUAUAACAAUACUCCGAGAACUGAAAGGCUUUUUGAAGUCUUCGGAUGGAUAGAAGAACCCCUGAUGCCGUCGAGCCAAGAAAAGUUUCUAAGUUUAGCUAAUGUUGCCCGUACCGUAAACCGACACAGGUGGGUGGGAUGAGUAUUCUAAGGCGCGUGGAAGAACUCUCUUUAAGGAACUCUGCAAAAUAGCACCGUAUCUUCGGUAUAAGGUGUGGUUCGCUUCGUAUUAGGAUUUACUCCGAAAGCGAAGAAACUUACAACAAAGAGUCCCUCCCGACUGUUUACCAAAAACACAGCACUCUGCUAACUCGUAAGAGGAUGUAUAGGGUGUGACGCCUGCCCGGUGCUCGAAGGUUAAUUGAUGGGGUUAGCAUUAGCGAAGCUCUUGAUCGAAGCCCGAGUAAACGGCGGCCGUAACUAUAACGGUCCUAAGGUAGCGAAAUUCCUUGUCGGUUAAAUACCGACCUGCAUGAAUGGCGUAACGAGAUGGGAGCUGUCUCAAAGAGGGAUCCAGUGAAAUUGUAGUGGAGGUGAAAAUUCCUCCUACCCGCGGCAAGACGGAAAGACCCCGUGGACCUUUACUACAGCUUGACACUGCUAUUUGGAUAAGAAUGUGCAGGAUAGGUGGGAGGCUUUGAGUAUAUGACGCCAGUUGUAUAUGAGCCAUUGUUGAGAUACCACUCUUUCUUAUUUGGGUAGCUAACCAGCUUGAGUUAUCCUCAAGUGGGACAAUGUCUGGUGGGUAGUUUGACUGGGGCGGUCGCCUCCCAAAUAAUAACGGAGGCUUACAAAGGUUGGCUCAGAACGGUUGGAAAUCGUUCGUAGAGUAUAAAGGUAUAAGCCAGCUUAACUGCAAGACAUACAAGUCAAGCAGAGACGAAAGUCGGUCUUAGUGAUCCGGUGGUUCUGUGUGGAAGGGCCAUCGCUCAAAGGAUAAAAGGUACCCCGGGGAUAACAGGCUGAUCUCCCCCAAGAGCUCACAUCGACGGGGAGGUUUGGCACCUCGAUGUCGGCUCAUCGCAUCCUGGGGCUGGAGCAGGUCCCAAGGGUAUGGCUGUUCGCCAUUUAAAGCGGUACGCGAGCUGGGUUCAGA
rnacentral:rRNA from 1 species